rnacentral:rRNA from 1 species
UACAGAGGGUGCUAGCGUUGUUCGGAAUCAUUGGGCGUAAAGGGCGUGUAGGCGGUUUGUUAAGUCAUGUGUGAAAUCCCUCGGCUCAACCUGGGAACAGCGCUUGAGACUGGCACGCUCGAGUUCGGGAGAGGAUGGUGGAAUUCCCAGUGUAGAGGUGAAAUUCGUAGAUAUUGGGAAGAACACCGAUGGCGAAGGCAGCCAUCUGGACCGACACUGACGCUGAGGCGCGAAAGCGUGGGGAGCAAACAGG